AUGAACGCUGGCGGCGUGCCUAAUACAUGCAAGUCGCGCGAACAGACGAGGAUCUUUCUCCUCUUACGUUAUCGGCGGACGGUUUAUUAACACGUUGAUAACCUACCUAUAAUUCUGGGAUAACUUCGGGAAACCGGAUCUAAUACCGGAUAAUAUAUUUAACCGCUUGGUUCAAUAGUUAAAUACGGUUUUUCUUUCACUUAUAUAUGUAUCCUCGCGGCAUUAGAUAGUUGGUAAGGUAACGGCUUACCAAGGCAACGAUGCGUAGACGACCUGAGAGGGUGAGAGGCGACACUGGAAGUGAGACACGGAAAAGACUCCUACGGGAGGCAGCAGUAGGGAAUAUGACGCAAUGGGGGAAAGCAUGACGGAGCAAAGCAGCGUGAGUGAUGAAGGUGUUCGGAUCGUAAAAAACUGUUAUGAGGGAAGAACAAAUGUGUAAGAAAAUAUGCACGGAGUGACGGUAACGAAUAAGAAAGCAACGGCUAACUACGUG
rnacentral:rRNA from 1 species